rnacentral:rRNA from 1 species
UACGAAGGACCCGAGCGUUAUCCGGAUUUAUUGGGUUUAAAGGGCGCGUAGGCGGAUUUUUAAGUCAGGGGUGAAAGCCUUCAGCUUAACUGAAGAAUUGCCAUUGAUACUGAUGAUCUUGAGUAUGAUUGAGGUGGGCGGAAUGUGUCAUGUAGCGGUGAAAUGCUUAGAUAUGACACAGAACACCGAUUGCGAAGGCAGCUCACUAAGCCAUAACUGACGCUGAUGCACGAAAGCGUGGGGAGCAAACAGG